rnacentral:lncRNA from 1 species
AGCCUUCCUUAAUCAGGCUAAUAUUAGGCCAUUUGUUUUCCUAAUACCCGUUGACCAGAGCUUGCCUUGCAGCGCGUUGAGUGUUGAUUGGUGGCUUGGUGCAUCUGCCAUCUGUUUGCCAUAUAAGGGCAUGAUUUUAGAUCUGCUGGACUGUUGUUAUUGUUGAAAUUAACGUUAGAGUAACUAUAUGUGUGUCAGCUUUUAUAAUCGUUAUCUUAAAUGCAUUCAUAUGAUUGACUU